rnacentral:rRNA from 1 species
AACGCGAAGAACCUUACCUGGGCUUGACAUGUUCCUGACAGCCGUGGAAACACGGUCUCCCUUCGGGGCAGGAUCACAGGUGGUGCAUGGCUGUCGUCAGCUCGUGUCGUGAGAUGUUGGGUUAAGUCCCGCAACGAGCGCAACCCCCGUCGCAUGUUGCCAGCAUUUAGUUGGGGACUCAUGCGAGACCGCCGGUGACAAACCGGAGGAAGGUGGGGAUGACGUCAAGUCAUCAUGCCCCUUAUGUCCAGGGCUACACACGUGCUACAUUGGCGCGUACAGAGGGUUGCGAUACCGCGAGGUGGAGCGAAUCCCUUAAAGCGCGUCUCGGUUCGGAUUGCAGGCUGAAACUCGCCUGCAUGAAGGCGGAGUUGCUAGUAAUCGCGGAUCAGCAUUGCCGCGGUGAAUACGUUCCCGGGCCUUGUA